GGCCUGGCAUAGUGGUUUGGGUGUUGGACUAUAAUGCUGGAGACCAGGGUUUGAUUCCCUGCUCAGCCA